rnacentral:siRNA from 1 species
GAAGAAGCCUGUCUGGUUGUGC